rnacentral:rRNA from 1 species
UACGUAGGGAGCGAGCGUUGUCCGGAAUUACUGGGUGUAAAGGGAGCGUAGGCGGGACUGCAAGUUGGGUGUCAAAUCUACCGGCUCAACCGGUAGCCGCACUCAAAACUGCAGUUCUUGAGUGAAGUAGAGGCAGGCGGAAUUCCUAGUGUAGCGGUGAAAUGCGUAGAUAUUAGGAGGAACACCGGUGGCGAAGGCGGCUUACUGGACUGUAACUGACGUUGAGGCUCGAAGGCGUGGGGAGCAAACAGG